CCCUUCUCCAGGUUGCACCUGGAGAGUUUCCAGAACUCUACAAGUCUGGGCUAUGGGAAGGAAAGUCAAGCAGAGGCACACCUGUUCCAUUCCUAGCUUGGGCAGUGGCUAGAGAGUGGAAGACAAUCUGCUACAAGU